GCCCAGUGCUCUGUCAGGGUGAUCGUAGCUUACGAUUACCUCUACUCCAAGACCGUGCCUGAUUACUUCAUGGAAUAGCCCAGUGCUCUGUCAAGGUGAUCGUAGCUUACGAUUACCUCUACUCCAAGACCGUGCUCUGAUUAAUUCAUGGAAUAGCCCAGUGCUCUGUCAGGGUGAUCGUAGCUUACGAUUACCUCUACUACCACACUGGACCUAGACAGGCGUAGUUCUAAGAUCGGUUCAUGGAAUAACUCUGUCAGGGUGAUCGUAGCUUACGAUUACCUCUACUACCACACUGGACCUAGAC